rnacentral:rRNA from 1 species
UCGACGCGAGCACUUGUGCUCGAGUGGCGAACGGGUGAGUAAUACAUAAGUAACCUGCCCUAGACAGGGGGAUAACUAUUGGAAACGAUAGCUAAGACCGCAUAGGUACGGACACUGCAUGGUGACCGUAUUAAAAGUGCCUCAAAGCACUGGUAGAGGAUGGACUUAUGGCGCAUUAGCUGGUUGGCGGGGUAACGGCCCACCAAGGCGACGAUGCGUAGCCGACCUGAGAGGGUGACCGGCCACACUGGGACUGAGACACGGCCCAGACUCCUACGGGAGGCAGCAGUAGGGAAUUUUCGGCAAUGGGGGAAACCCUGACCGAGCAACGCCGCGUGAAGGAAGAAGGUUUUCGGAUUGUAAACUUCUGUUAUAAAGGAAGAACGGCGGCUACAGGAAAUGGUAGCCGAGUGACGGUACUUUAUUAGAAAGCCACGGCUAACUACGUGCCAGCAGCCGCGGUAAUACGUAGGUGGCAAGCGUUAUCCGGAAUUAUUGGGCGUAAAGAGGGAGCAGGCGGCAGCAAGGGUCUGUGGUGAAAGCCUGAAGCUUAACUUCAGUAAGCCAUAGAAACCAGGCAGCUAGAGUGCAGGAGAGGAUCGUGGAAUUCCAUGUGUAGCGGUGAAAUGC